GAUGAACGCUGGCGGCGUGCCUAAUACAUGCAAGUCGAACGCACAGCGAAAGGCGCUUGCACCUUUCAAGUGAGUGGCGAACGGGUGAGUAACACGUGAACAACCUGCCUCAAGGCUGGGGAUAACAUUUGGAAACAGAUGCUAAUACCGAAUAAAACUCAGUGUCGCAUGACACAAAGUUAAAAGGCGCUUUGGCGUCACCUAGAGAUGGAUCCGCGG
rnacentral:rRNA from 1 species